CUGGUCUGCAGGAUUUGAAGGUUGUCUAUAAACGCCAAGACAGAUGGGAAAAUGUUCCUCCUACCACACAGGAUCAGUGAAAGGAAAUGUGCAUUUGAGAGACUCCACCUCCUGCCAGACAUGGUGAGUUUGCAUUUUACACAGCCUGUCUUGCCCACAGGUCACCUCCCCCACGGAGAAGAUCCUCUGUCUUCAUCAUCCCAAAUUGUUGCCCCAGUGUUUCUGCUUAGACAUAUUCAACCUCCCUCAGGCACCUUCUGAGAAACUAUAUCAUGAUGAGAAGGCUUUCUGACUUUAUCAGCUGCCAGCAGAAGGUGCUCCGACAUCGAGGGUGGCUUUCCCUGCUUCAGAUGACUGGUCAGACACACCUUGACAGGGACCGGAGAGAUGGCUGGGCAGCGAAGAGUACAAACCACACGUGCAAGGACUUGAGUUCUGUUCCCAGUGCUCACAUCUGAUGGCUCACAACCACCUAUAACUCUAGCUCCAGGGGAACCCAAGGCAUUUGGUCUCCCGAAGGCCUCUACACUGGUGGGCAAAAGCCCACAUUCGCAUUCAUAUAUACAUCAUUUAAAACACAGUAAAUCUUUAUUUUUAAAUGAAAAAUAAAAAUCACACCGCAGGAAUGCCAACAGCUUUUCUGGUAGUUGAUUCCAAAUCUAAUAAAGUUGAUAACCGA
rnacentral:sRNA from 1 species